AUCGUUCGACUGUUUUCCGAUCCAAGCUUGUGGCGGUGAGCAGCAGCAGGCUGGUCUCACACUCUCGUUUGCUGAUGCAGUAGCGUAGAGUGGUGUGGUGCUACCGCUAUGCCGCACCGGUUCUCCCAGGCCGUAUAAAGCUAACAAUAUAGCCAACCUAUAUAAUUUGCUUGGCUACUAGAUUGGAUAAGAAGAGAGAUCUGUAUUAAAUAUGCUAGUAUUAAAUGCUUACAUGUCUAACCAUCAACUGCGGUCUACAUCUUUGUGGCUAUUUAUACACAACACAAUAUGGAAACCAUAUAGAUAGGCAAUCAGCCAUUACAAGU
rnacentral:lncRNA from 1 species